rnacentral:rRNA from 1 species
UAAUACGUAGGGGGCAAGCGUUGUCCGGAAUCAUUGGGCGUAAAGAGCGUGUAGGCGGUCCGGUAAGUCCGCUCUGAAAGUCCGGGGCUCAACCCCGGAAGGCGGGCGGAUACUGUCGGGCUAGAGUCCGGAAGAGGCAAGUGGAAUUCCUGGUGUAGCGGUGAAAUGCGCAGAUAUCAGGAGGAACACCGAUGGCGAAGGCAGCUUGCUGGGACGGUACUGACGCUGAGACGCGAAAGCGUGGGGAGCAAACAGGAUUAGAUACCCUGGUAGUCCACGCUGUAAACGAUGGUCACUAGGU